rnacentral:rRNA from 1 species
UACGGAGGGGGCUAGCGUUGUUCGGAAUUACUGGGCGUAAAGCGCACGUAGGCGGCUUUGUAAGUUAGAGGUGAAAGCCCAGGGCUUAACCCUGGAAUUGCCUUUAAGACUGCAUCGCUAGAAUUGUGGAGAGGUAAGUGGAAUUCCGAGUGUAGAGGUGAAAUUCGUAGAUAUUCGGAAGAACACCAGUGGCGAAGGCGACUCACUGGCCCAUUACUGACGCUGAGGCGCGAAAGCGUGGGGAGCAAACAGG